rnacentral:rRNA from 1 species
GAUGAACGCUGGCGGCGUGCCUAAUACAUGCAAGUCGAGCGAACAGACGAUGAGCUUGCUCCUCUGACGUUAGCGGCGGACGGGUGAGUAACACGUGGAUACCCUACCUAUAAGACUGGUAUAACUUGGGGAAACCGGAUCUAAUCCCGGAUAAUAUAUUGAUCCGUAUGGUGCGAUAGUAAAAUACGGUUUUUCUGGCACUUAUAGAUGGAUCCGCGCCGCAUUAGCUAGUUGGUAAGGUAACGGCUUACUAAGGCAACGAUGCGUAGCCGACCUGAGAGGGUGAUCGGCGACCUUGGAAGUGAGACGGGGUCAAGACUACUACGGGAGGCAGCAGUAGGGAAUCUGCCGCAAUGGGCGAAAGCCUGACGGAGCAACGCCGAGUGAGAGAUGAAGGUGUUCGGAGCGUAAAAAUCUGUUAUUAGGGGAGAACAAAUGUGUAAGUAACUAUGCACGUAUUGACGGUAACUAAUAAGAAAGCAACGGCUAACUACGUG